GAGCGCGGACCUGUUUCUCCCCAUAGAGAGAGAGAGGAGCGCGGACCUGUUCUCCCCAUAGAGAGAGAGGAGCGCGGACCUGUUCUCCCCAUAGAGAGAGAGAGAGAGGAGCAAGGACCUGUUUCUCCCCAUAAAUAGAGAGAGAGGAGCGCGGACCUGUCUCCCCAUAGAGAGAGAGAGGGACCUGUUCUCCCCAUAGAGAGAGAGAGAGGACCUGUUCUCCCCAUAGAGAGAGGAGCAAGGACCUGUUCUCCACAUAGAGACAGAGAGAGAGGAGCAAGGACCUUUGUUCUCCCCAUAAGAGAGAGGAGCAUGGCCUGUUCUCCCCAUAGAGAGAGAGAGAGAGGAGCAAGGACCUGUUCUCCCCAUAGAGAGAGGAGCAAGAGGAGCAAGGACCUGUUUCUCCCAUAGAGAGAGAGAGGGAGCAAGGACCUGUUCUCCCCAUAGAGAGAGAGAGGAGCAAGGACCUGUUCUCCCAUAAAGAGAGAGAGAGGAGCAAGGACCUGUUCUCCCAUAAAAGAGAGAG
rnacentral:lncRNA from 1 species